rnacentral:rRNA from 1 species
GAUGAACGCUGGCGGCGUGCCUAAUACAUGCAAGUCGAGCGAACAGACGAGGAGCUUGCUCCUCUGACGUUAGCGGCGGACGGGUGAGUAACACGUGGAUAACCUACCUAUAAGACUGGGAUAACUUCGGGAAACCGGAGCUAAUACCGGAUAAUAUAUUGAACCGCAUGGUUCAAUAGUGAAAGACGGUUUUGCUGUCACUUAUAGAUGGAUCCGCGCCGCAUUAGCUAGUUGGUAAGGUAACGGCUUACCAAGGCAACGAUGCGUAGCCGACCUGAGAGGGUGAUCGGCCACACUGGCACUGAGACACGGUCCAGACUCCUACGGGAGGCAGCAGUAGGGAAUCUUCCGCAAUGGGCGAAAGCCUGACGGAGCAACGCCGCGUGAGUGAUGAAGGUCUUCGGAUCGUAAAACUCUGUUAUUAGGGAAGAACAAAUGUGUAAGUAACUAUGCACGUCUUGACGGUACCUAAUCAGAAAGCCACGGCUAACUCCGUG